rnacentral:rRNA from 1 species
AGUGAACGCUGGCGGUAGGCCUAACACAUGCAAGUCGAACGGCAGCACAGUAAGAGCUUGCUCUUACGGGUGGCGAGUGGCGGACGGGUGAGGAAUACAUCGGAAUCUACUUUUUCGUGGGGGAUAACGUAGGGAAACUUACGCUAAUACCGCAUACGACCUACGGGUGAAAGCAGGGGAUCUUCGGACCUUGCGCGAUUGAAUGAGCCGAUGUCGGAUUAGCUAGUUGGCGGGGUAAAGGCCCACCAAGGGGACGAUCCGUAGCUGGUCUGAGAGGAUGGGCAGCCACACUGGAACUGAGACACGGUCCAGACUCCUACGGGAGGCAGCAGUGGGGAAUAUUGGACAAUGUGCGCAAGCCUGAUCCAGCCAUACCGCGUGGGUGAAGAAGGCCUUCGGGUUGUAAAGCCCUUUUGUUGGGAAAGAAAAGCAGCAGGUUAAUACCCCGCUGUUCUGACGGUACCCAAAGAAUAAGCACCGGCUAACUUCGU